GACAGAGGGGGCAAGCGUUGUCCGGAUUUACUGGGCGUACAGCGCGCGCAGGCGGCCGCGUAUGUGACCGGUGACAGCCUCGGGCUCAACUCGAGGUGGUCUGGUUACACAGCGGGGCUGGAGGCAGGGAGAGGGAUGUGGAAUACCCGGUGGAGCGGUGAAAUGCGUAGAGAUCGGGUGGAACACCAGUGGCGAAGGCGGCAUCCUGGCCCUGACCUGACGCUGAGGCGCGAGAGCGUGGGGAGCAAACGGG
rnacentral:rRNA from 1 species